GACGAACGCUGGCGGCGCGCUUAAUACAUGCAAGUCGAGCGAGAACCAGAGCUUCGGCUCUGGGGACAGCGGCGAACGGGUGAGUAUCACGUGAGUAAUCUGCCCUCGGCACCGGGAUAGCCCGGGGAAACCCGGAUUAAUACCGGAUGGCCUCUCGAGCCCUCGGGCUCGUGAGAAAGGUAGCUUCGGCCUCCGGCCGGGGAGGAGCUCGCGGCGGAUUAGCUUGUUGGUGGGGUAACGGCUCACCAAGGCGACGAUCCGUAGCUGGUCUGAGAGGACGAUCAGCCACACUGGGACUGAGACACGGCCCAGACUCCUACGGGAGGCAGCAGUAGGGAAUCUUGCGCAAUGGGCGAAAGCCUGACGCAGCGACGCCGCGUGCGGGAAGAAGGCCUUCGGGUUGUAAACCGCUUUCAGGAGGGACGAAGCCACUCGGGUUAAUAGCCCAGAGGGUGACGGUACCUCCAGAAGAAGCCCCGGCUAACUACGUGCCAGCCGCCGCGGUAAGAC
rnacentral:rRNA from 1 species